rnacentral:rRNA from 1 species
AUGCGGCGGUGGCGAUACCCGCCCUCGGCUACAACUUGCACUAGAUUUGGCCUCUGGAUGGAUGCUAUGGUUCCUGUAAUGUUGCUCUGUUGGGUUCUCUCAAGCUGGAUAUUGGAGGACACUAAAGGCUGCGGUCAUGGGCCACAUUCUCUUGCGGAACUUUCUUAUUGGCUUCAUAGCAGCAAUCUCCAGGAUCUUUCUAUGGAAUUCAAGGGUUAUGUCUUCAAGAUCAUGAGUGGUUGCAAUAAGCUGGGCUUCCCUAUGAAGCAAGAAGUGCUAACUUCUGGUACGCCAUCUGCUUCACAGGGGGCAACGGUGGUGGCCAGGCCAUGUGGGUCCAUUUAUCUUGUUGUGGUCCAUGAAGGGCAACGGUGGCCAGGCCAGGCCAUGUGGGUCCUCAGGAAAGGAAGGAAUGGAUCUCCUGUGUAUCUAGGUUCUCUCAAGCUGGAUAUUGGAGAACACUAA